rnacentral:rRNA from 1 species
UACAGAGGGGGCAAGCGUUGUUCGGAUUUACUGGGCGUAAAGCGCACGUAGGCGGAUUGGUCAGUUAGGGGUGAAAUCCUGGAGCUCAACUCCAGAACUGCCUUUAAUACUGCCAGUCUCGAGUCCGGAAGAGGUAAGUGGAACUCCUAGUGUAGAGGUGGAAUUCGUAGAUAUUAGGAAGAACACCAGUGGCGAAGGCGGCUUACUGGUCCGGUACUGACGCUGAGGUGCGAAAGCGUGGGGAGCAAACAGG